rnacentral:lncRNA from 1 species
GCUAAUCCUCCUGGUCAUCACAAAGCCUACAAGAAAUUCUAUUCUUAAUAGGUCUCGUGAAGCUAACUUAAUAUCUUGGGGAAAAAUGCUUAACAUUCUAUGAUUCAUCACGCCGGGUUUCAAAAUUUAAUGAAUAAAUAUUGAAAACUAAAUCUCUUGAGUUAAGAACACCAACAAUAUCCUUACUCGACUUUCUUUUAGUGUUUUAGGGUUCUAGCAUCCAUAAUUCGUUCCAUUAAAGACAAUCGAAAACCAACAUAACCUCGUGACUAACCACAUAAUAUCACGUAAUCACGUAAACAAUAAACAAAAAGAAAUAAAAUCCUCAAGUUUAGUAUCAUUAAAAUCACAAGUUCAUAUGAACAUAAAAGAAUCAUGCACCAUUUUUAUAACAUUCUAUACAUUUCAUUUUUUUUCAUGUAAAUAAAUAAGAAAUUCCAUUAUUCAUUUAUAAAAAAUAAAACAUUUUAAAAUCCAUUGAGAUGAAAUAAAACAUUUUAACCAUUUAAAAUACAUACUCAAAAAGCCUUGAAAUAUUAUAAAAAUGAGGGUUUAAUCCCAAAAUUUGUUUUCAUUUUAAAGUCCAUCAAUAAAUUAAAUAAAAUAACGGACCUCAUUUAAAAUAAAUAGUCCCAACCUUAAAUAUUAAAAUUUAAAUCAAGAGAUUUAAAUUCACUAAAAUAAUUUAGUGAAAAUUCAAACACAUAGGCAACACAAUCACAUAAGGCACAUAAGAAUCACAAUCAAACAUCAUUAAAACAUGCUCUGUNUAAACUGCUCUGUUUCAGAGGUCAUAAAAAUCGAAAUAUUAUGUUUUUAGAAAAGUAUUGAAGUCUAGUUUCGUUUAAAAAAAACGGUGAUGCAAAAUCCUUCAUGGAUUAAUAGAUAUAAACGUUUUUGUGAAGUCUACCAACAGUUGACAGAUUCUGUCAAGGAUUGUUCCAAAAUAUCUUUAAAAUACCAAACAUCAUCCAAAAGACAUGAAAUUUUGCAGCGACGAAAUACACAUAUCAUAGAUAAACAUACUAAAAUUUCAGAGCCAUCAAGCAAUGAAAACUCAUCGAAACAUAAGCUUGAAACUGCUGUAAAAUUUUUACAGAAUUCCAGUUUUAAUUAUCAUCCAUAAAUUGUAAAUCAAUUAGCAUGCUCAUGUGAUAUCGUAGAACACAUAUACGCAAUAAUAUUCAUUAUGCAACGUCCCAAACUUCACGAAUUUAAAUAAUCAUACUCUAAAAACUUAUACAAUUUUCGUGCUUGGAAAAAUACAAAUUUAAUAUAUAUCGAUUCUAGCAUACCCUUAAGCACAAAUAUCAAGUCAAAACGAUCAAACAAAAAUCGAAAGACAAGCUAAUAUGUGAAAAACGGGGCUGCCCUCAUGGGUUUCAUAGCUACGGUUCGUUCCGUUCUUACUCCCUUCAUUAAACAUGCUCAACAUCUACCCAAGAACAACAUACUAAAAUUUCACGACGAUCCGACGUCGUUUCAAAAUAAAGUCGAGAAUCGACGUUUUUCGACGUCGACGAAAAUCGAAAAGAAAACCAUCAAAACGUAGGUAGAGAUCUUACCUACUUAGAUACGUGUUCGAAAAGAUGAUCGGGGCUCGUCUCCGCACUCAAAACGGAGCUCAAAAGCUCCAACUCCAAAAAAAAUGAAAAUGCGUGAGUGAGUGUGUGUUUAGUGUGUGUGAGAGAAAUAAAAAAUGAAAAGUGAAGGUUUGGCUGAUACAGCCGUAAGUAAGAGAAGGAAAGGGAGUUGGGCGGUUGGGGGGUGGUUAAGGGUAGGGUAGGUUAGAUAUUUAGUCGUUAAAUAUCUCGUUUCGUCUCGUCUCGUCUCGUCUUAACGACUAACUACCCAUACUCUUCGUUACUCGCCCUCUCAACUCCUACUCACUUUCAUUACACUCGUAAUUCUAUAUAAAUAUAGAAAAUACAAGCUCGUUCUCGAAAUUCUGAUAAACGAGAUCUACACAUUUAUCGAGAAAUCCCGAUUUACUAUUCACUCGUCGUCCAAAAAUAAAAACUUUCAUUAUUGGACUCGUAUCGAAAAACUAAGAAUAUUUCUCGACGACGUGCACGUAAGAUUUUGAAAGUCGACAAAAAGACGAAAUAGCAGUAUUUUACUAUUCAUCGUCAAAAAGUCAAAAAUUUCAAAAACGUCUUAACGGACUCAGAUUUCACUUCCGAGUUCAUCGUUCCCGUUCAAAUAAUUAUCUCGAAUUAUUCAAAUACUCAAACUCAAAUACGGAUCCCACAUCAUCCACACAUCAUCAAAAGAACAUCUCAACAUCUUUUUAAAAAAAAACAAGAAAAACUUCAUAUAACUCCUCAUCUCUGUACAAGUAAUCAAACAAAGGAUACCCUAAUUACUCAAACUCAAGCAACUAAACACGUCAUCAAAAGCCCGGGUAUUACAGCUAAUCAUCAAGAUAUUCAUAUAUAUCAUCCCAAUAAUCAUCAAUCAUCAUAUAACUCAAGUCAAUUCAAGAAAAUAAACAACAAAAUUUCGUAGGGUCUCAAGCCCCAAAUUUUCGAAAAUUUCAUGGAAAUAAGUUGGGUGAUUUUCUUGCUCAAUCAUGAUCAUAUACUCACAUAUAACAUCAUACAAUCUAGAUCUAUGAAAAUAAGAUUCACUUACCCAAGAUUAAACAAAGAUCAAAGUUUUCCUUUUUCUAAAUCUUCAAGAGUAAGCUCCACGGUUCUCUUGGAAUUUCAAGAAUUGUAAGGUGUUUAAGUUUGAUUUGGUGGAGGAUCUUGAUCUUGGUGUGAAUUUAGGAGCUUUGGUGGUUCAUCUAUGGUGAUCUUUGAAAUAAAAUUCAAAAGAGAGAGAGAUUGAGUGAGAGCCGAGAGUGAAGUGUGAGGAAGAAAUGAAGUGUGCUUUGUCUUGCUAAGUGUAAUAUUGAUAAGUGUAAUAUGGAAUGUAGU